UCUUUGGCUGUGAGGCCCACCCACUUCCAGGUCGCCUCACUUCCUCCUCUUCGCCAUCGCCUGUGCAGGUAAUGUAGCGGUAGCUGCCUGGUUUUGUUGUUUGCAUUGGAUUUUGCGGUUGUCACAGUUAUGGUUUGUCUGUGUGCAAACGUCCGACGGGCGGACGCUGCGCCUGUGGGGCUGGCUCGCCGGUAAUCUGCCAUUCAAUGCGCUAUUGGUCAACCGCGUUUGCCACUGCCGCUGUGAGACCUAAAGUGCUCUGACCCUCUCCAGUGUGUGUGCGUCAUCGACGCUGCCUGAUCGGUGCUGGAAGCUUACGGUGGCAGUCCUGGUGUCCUGGCGGUGGGGUUCCCCCUUUUCUUUUGGUGUGUGUGUGUGUGCGGUGCGACCCCUCCUCAGUUAUUUGGUUUUGGUGUUUGAGUGACACGAGCGAGUGGGGUGCUUUUCUCCAUGGGUUCCUUCACCUCCCCGUUCUCCUAGUCUCCCCCACUGGAGAACUAAUUGGUGUGGACUGAUGCACACAGGACAGCCUUUACAGGAUGAUAGUCCAAGGGGAUAUCCUGCUGAGAACUUGCUGGAAGACCUAGCAGAAGAGGGUGGCGAGGAGGAUGAGGGCUUUGAGGGGGAAGAUUCAAAACUUUAAGGUUCUAGUUCACCACUGUGCUCAUAGACUAGUUUGUAUCCUCAUCCAGUCAUCUAGUUUUUACACAGCCCCCGAGCCAGCCUGCAGUCCAGCCUUCCAGACAUUAUGUUUUCCAGUCUGAAUCCUGACCUGGUGUCUCCGGUGCCCCACACUGGUGCCACAAAUACAGUUGGUAAGUAAUCUUUUACGGAAAACUCACAAUAAAGCAACAGUUGUGUCCAAAUGAUUGAGCAUACAAAAACAACAUGCAAUAGACAGCAUAUAGGUUUUAAGACAUAUGUGAUAUGUAGAAUAAUUUCACAGCAAGUUCUCCUAUUUAUUUACUUACUGAUGACAAAUUGUAUGUUUAUCAUGUUUAUCAGGUAUGGAUCAAGUUGACAGCCUUGCAGACUAUAUGGUAGAACUGAGAACACAGACCUCCAUAACUCUCAGCAACCAAGAGAUCAGCAAUAUUUGCAACUUAGAAUAUCAUACUUAGUCCAAAAAGAAUGUGUUUUUCAUUAGUUAUUCAUUUCAUUUAAUAUCGUGUCACCAAAUAUUAAUAUUUUGUUUUCUGUGGGGUUUUCUAUGUCUGUUUUUAAGGUGAGCUCAAUUGUGGCCAUGUGGUAGUGUGACUGAAGCUGUGUCUUACAUACAGUCUACCUCAAAGUACUGCAGGACAAGUAGUUACUAAGAAGAAAGACACUGUUGCCCGUUCCAGCAGUGUCCCAGCAGCUGUUCCUCUGAAGAAGCGUCUGGCCUGAACCAUGCCCAACUUCUUGCGUUACCCCUAUUCCUCUGGUUUUCCUUGGUUUUCCCCAAGCACUGUCUUUUGUUCCUGUACCAACACAACUGCAAGUCCCUGGUACUACACCAUCCCCUGCCACUACAUCUGCUACAUCUGCUCCUCAAAGACAAACCUCAACAAAGGCACAGGACUGCAGAAAUAGGACACAGCCAAUACAAAGGCACAGUUUACUGACCCUCCACAGAAACUGUAGCAAAAGAUGAAUGAGUGACGAGAGGUAGUCAUAGAAAGAGUGGAGUCAUAGAAAGAGUGGCAGGAUUAGUUUGAAUUGUUUGAUUGUUAUGUUAUCUGAACAUAUUCAGAUGCUUAACUUUUCAAAUAUUCUCAAGAGUAAAUAUAUUAUAUACAGUUUGACUGCAACUCAAAGAAGAACUCAAAGUGAGACCAGGGGCCUGUAUCAUGAAGCAGGAUUAAUGUCUUAGCGAGGUAACUUCAGGGUUAAAGAGGACAUGAAACACUAAACAUAGUUAUCAUAAUUUAAAGAGGGUCUCUCACCCUGAAAAGAUAAUUUUAGUUUAAACACUGAAAAUGAAAGGAAUCUCAAAAUCCUGCCAUUUAAGUUCAGCUGUUAAAACAAAGGACGGCGCCAUGUCUGUUGUGUUGCCGGACGUGACGUCAGCGGAGUGGUUGUCAAGCUAGCGAUCUCAAUGAAGUGAAGACAGUGGAGCAUUUCUGAAGUGGGUUGAGCGCCACACUUUUUGACAAUGGAGGAAGACGAACUGGAGAGGCCUGUUGAGUCUGUGACAAGCCCCAUUGCCUACGCAUAUGAGCCUAUAAGGCGUGGGAAUCGAGCAGUGGUACGGGAGGAAGAAGUGGUUGAGCCGGUGAUUUGGGGUCAAGGGCGUGUUGGCAACAUUACGUGGUGUCAAUGUGGCGAUGCCCACUGUGCCAGAGUCCAUUUGCUGCCAGGAGGCUGGUCUGGACCAUCUUCUCCAUGACCACCCCUGCAUCACCAUGGUGCGCUCAUUCAGCACCCUGUGCCGGGAGGUGGACGUGUUGGGGGUAGCGAUGCUUUCGCUGAGGGAUGUCAGAGCUGAGACACUGCAGUGCCCGUCACCAGCAGGUAAGUCAAGCUAGCUGUAACCGCGUGCCAAUGACUCAGUAACCGUAUGCAGUAAAGAAAACAAAUGCAUGCACUACGGUGUUGGCCAGGAAUAUGAACAAUGUUUCCACGUGCUGUUUGUUUACAUACAGUUGUUGUCUGAGGGGUAUUCCAUGUAGGAGGUUCAACAAACUCUGAGUCUAACCUUGAACUCUUGGACUCAGAUUUAAUCUAAUGGGGAAAAACACAGGAGGCAGCAACUGAAAAAUAGGAAGAUUUAAAACAUAUAGGCUAGGCUAUAGAUCAAAGACAUAAAGACAUGACUGUAAACUCAGUCUGACCCAGUAAUAAUAUGUUUGGUGAUUUGCACUUGAAAAGAUGUUAAGGUUAAAAUACAGUAGAUUUUAAAAUGUUGCACAUCUAUUUGUAUCUUGACUCAACAGCAUUCAGUGACUUUAUUUCAGCUACAAAUGUAGUACAUUUAAAGACACUGAAAUGCUGCACCAUUACUCACUCAGAAAUAUUAACAUGUAAUCCCCAAUAUUAGACUAUAGGAAUUAUGUUCCAUCAGUGCGACCAAUGACAUCAGUGAUAGAGAACAUUAGUCAUUGAUACUACGUGUUUAAAGCUUCAUACCGAUUUUUAAAAUUUAAAUAAUUAGACCUACACAUUAUGUGCAAUAAACAUUUCGGAGCUGCUCUAAUAGACUGACAGUCUGAUCCUUGUGCACAGUGUUAUAAAAAAAAUAAUUAAUAUAAAAAGGACAGAGGUUUCAUUCUGAGCUGAGGGUGAAUUCUCGCUGUGUAAUAUUUGAAUGUAAAGACAAAAACCGAUGUCCAAAGAAAUGAUUGUGCAUAAAUUCAGUAACUUAAGACAGUCCUGAGUAACAAACUAAUAUCCAGCAGGAUUUAGACUGUGACAGACGGUAAAUCUCCGCUAAUUAAUGCGCUUCGAUACAAGCUUUGACACGGACUGAAUGAAUGAGGAAAUGAAACCGCGUGUAAGAGGGAGGAGACAGAAAAAAACUCAGGGUUUAUUGAAGAAAACCUGCCAGCGAGCAGGUUAUGUUCAGAGUCUGUUACCAUGGUGAUUGACUCAGAGUUUCAGUUACCUCUCUUUCUGGAACGGAUAAGUCAGUUUUCCCUCAUCUCAGGGUUAACUUACUCUGAGUUUUCACACCCACUUUCUGGAAUACCCCUGUGACCGAAACGUCUUUGUUUAUGUCGUUUCUCCGGUACUAAUUGCUAGCUAACCCUUAGCGUUAGCUAGUUGACGCUAACAGCUAUCAAUGCUGGUACCUAAUGUUAGUUCGCCAGUUCACAUAGCUGACUAUUGCUACUGGUGAAUGAGCCAGUUAAAUGCGGAACAUGUCUGAGAGGCCUGACGUAACAAUAUAAUGCCACAUGAAUGCUUUCUAUACGUAGUUUGUUUAUAUCGUGUUGUGCAACACGUUAUGAAACCAACGUUUGGGAAACUGCUGUGAAAACACCGUGAUGCAGACAGUUUGAUGUCAGACAUUCAGACGGGUUCAUCCUCAGUAACUUUUGAGUGGGAUUAGCAAUACACAGUUGACGUAUAUUCUGGAAUCUGAAAGGAAUGAUUCAAUGUUUUGUACUUCGUAGGUGAUAUAGAAUAAUACAUAGAAAUGGAUAUGAAGCAAGGCUGAAGUUAACAUAAAUUACCAAAUGGAUUUCCACUCUCACACUCUAACAAGUGGACACAUAUAAAAGAAAAAAGACGCUCUGUUAUAUCUUUCCUGACAACAAACAACUUGUUUAUGAUCUUAAAAAACUGAGACAAAUCUAACCAAUACAUUUCUUUUCCAUAAGUCUCUUUAGGUUGACUGCCUACAGACAGUUUACCCUCUGGGCCAGGGGCCAUUUGGGAAGGAAGGGCCGGGUCUCGAUUCCAGCCUAUGUGGCCUGGCCUUCCACAGAUGUACAGUGUGAGUGGUCAUUGUUUAUGACCUGGUUGGUAAGUAUGUCAUCUGUCAAUGUGCCUGUGCAAAUGUACUGCUUAAUGUCUCCCUCUUCUGUAUCCUGUUGAAAUGGAUCGGUCUGGGUGUCGACACUGACUGUCAGGGUGUGCACACUGCCUGUCACCUACUCUAUCUCCUCACUGAUGUCAGCCUCUGGGAAUUUGCUGCUGGCCACCAGUUGCAUACAUGCCUGCCUAACCUGUUAACACAAAUGUACACUUUUUAGGUACCCAAAUGAUGUUAUCAGCCUUAACAUGAAAGACUUUGUACUUACAUCCUGACUACUGAUUUAUUAAAGAUUCAUAUACCCUAAACACUUUUUGUUGUGUUUUUAUUCUUUUGAUAACCACGCAUAGAAAACUAUCCAAUGUAUCCUCUGAUUUGUUUCAGUGAUGGUUGUGUGAAAUUGGUUUUGGUUAAAUGUCCAUACCAGUUCUGGCUGUAGUGCUUGUUGAAUCAAUAUAAUUAUUUGGUGUUUUAUUAUCAUAAGAUUAAUGUGUGUAAACACUGGGGAUGUUUGCUUUGCUUCUGAGGGACAUGUAACAAAAUUAACAAAAUUAUAACGUUAAUAUCACAUUUCUUGUAGGAGCCUGGGUACAGAAUGUAGCAGCCAGAAUCAUAUGUCAUAAUGUCACCAAUUCAUUUCCUCACUGACUUAUCUUAUUUUGUACAGUUCUACUAGUUAUUAUUUUGUGACUAUCAAAAGUAUCUGUGUACAGUUAUUUCUAAUGUCCAUGGAGAAUCAUGCACCUCACUACAUUAGCAAUGUCCUCCUUUUGCACUAAUGUACAAUGUGUUUUUACUAGGUGCUGUAGUAGGUAAUAGUUACUAGUACUAGUUUUUAGAGACUGAUAGUAUCUGUCAUGAAGUGUCUGUUGUGUGUCACUGCAGUUCAGGACCAAUACAAAGUUCCAGUGCUAUUUGCAUAAAUAUCUACAAUGUAUGUUCAGUAAAAGGUAAAAGCUAGACUAGAAUGAAAUGCUGAAUAACUGCCAAAUGCAUCAAUAUAUUAUUAGGCCUGCCACCGCUACUGUUCUUGUUGACUAUUUAGUGUUAUGGUAAUGUUGGUUAUGACUAAACAUUAGCAGUAGCGAGCGGUUAGCGCUAACAUCGGCCAAUCAAAAAUGCUAAUUUUGUUGUGAGCCAAUUCCGCUCCUGUGGUAAACACAACAUCAAGUGAGGCCUCAAGUGGAUUGCUGGACGGAGGGUCAACACUUUAGGUUGAAAAAGUAAAUUAUUAUGCCUUACAUUGUGUCGUGAUGG